rnacentral:hammerhead_ribozyme from 1 species
ACACUGCUGACGAGUCCCAUACUAGGACGAAACGGCCGUCCAGUGU